rnacentral:rRNA from 1 species
GCUUGCUUACUAGAGACCGGCGCACGGGUGCGUAACGCGUAUGCAAUCUACCUUAUACAGGGGAAUAGCCCAGAGAAAUUUGGAUUAAUACCUCAUAGUAUCUUCGGAAGGCAUCUUCUGAUUAUUAAAGUUCCAACGGUACAAGAUGAGCAUGCGUCCUAUUAGUUAGAUGGUGAGGUAACGGCUCACCAUGACUACGAUAGGUAGGGGUUCUGAGAGGAUGAUCCCCCACACUGGUACUGAGACACGGACCAGACUCCUACGGGAGGCAGCAGUGAGGAAUAUUGGUCAAUGGACGCAAGUCUGAACCAGCCAUGCCGCGUGCAGGAAGACGGCCCUCUGGGUUGUAAACUGCUUUUAUUUGGGAAGAAACCCCCUGUCGUGUAUAGGGGCUGACAGUACCAAAGGAAUAAGCACCGGCUAACUCCGUGCCAGCAGCCGCGGUAAUACGGAGGGUGCAAGCGUUAUCCGGAAUCAUUGGGUUUAAAGGGUCCGCAGGCGGGCCCGUAAGUCAGUGGUGAAAUCCCUCAGCUUAACUGAGGAACUGCCAUUGAUACUGCGGGUCUUGAAUUCGGUCGAAGUGGGCGGAAUGUGUCAUGUAGCGGUGAAAUGCAUAGAUAUGACACAGAACACCGAUAGCGAAGGCAGCUCACUGGGCCUGAAUUGACGCUCAGGGACGAAAGCGUGGGGAGCAAACAGGAUUAGAUACCCUGGUAGUCCACGCCGUAAACGAUGAUUACUCGAUAUUGGCGAUAUACGGUCAGUGUCUAAGCGAAAGUGAUAAGUAAUCCACCUGGGGAGUACGAUCGCAAGGUUGAAACUCAAAUGAAUUGACGGGGGCCCGCACAAGCGGUGGAGCAUGUGGUUUAAUUCGAUGCAACGCGAAGAACCUUACCUACUCUUGACAUCCAGAGAAUCUGGCGGAGACGCUAGAGUGCCUUCGGGAGCUCUGAGACAGGUGCUGCAUGGCUGUCGUCAGCUCGUGUUGUGAAAUGUUGGGUUAAGUCCCGCAACGAGCGCAACCCUUAUCCUUGUUUGCCAGCGAGUAAUGUCGGGAACUCCAGGGAGA